UCCUCGAUAGUAUAGUGGUGAGUAUACAAGCCUGUCAGAACGCUAUCUAUAGCGCAGAACGCUUGGGACCCGGGUUCAAUUCCCGGUCGGGGAG